rfam:Triticum aestivum genome assembly, contig: Triticum_aestivum_CS42_TGACv1_scaffold_406298_5BL
CCAUUGCUCAGUUGGUAGAGCACAAGGCUCUUAACCAUGUGGACAUGGAUUCAAGCCCCAUGAUGGG